ensembl:lncRNA
AACAUCUGAAUUCUCAGUGAUCUUGCCUUUCUUUGGAUUGUUGUGGUUUUUCAUGAACUUGUACUGUUGGGCGUAGAAAUACUGAGAUGCCUUGGAGUUCCUGUCAUGGUGCAGUGGUUAACAAACCUGACUAGGAACCAUGAGGUUGCGGGUUUGAUCCCUGGCCUUGCUCAGUGGGUCAAGGAUCCGGCAUUGCCGUGAGCUGUGGUGUGGGUUCCAGACGUGGCUCGGAUCUGGCGUUGCUGUGGCUCUGGUGUAGGCUGGCAGCAACAGCUCCGAUUGGACCUGUAGCCUGGGAACCUCUAUGUGCCGCGGAAAGCAGCCCUAGAAAAGCCAAAAAAAAAAAAAAAAAAAAAAAAAAAAAAAAAAGCUAAGAGAUGCCUUGAAGAAUCCACCGUGGGUUCUAGCCUUAGUUCUUCUCGACCCUCUGGCAGGAAGGAACCCAGUUUCCUUUUCCUCUAGCUGGUAGCAUAUCCUCCUCAUUUGCCUUCNNNNNNNNNNNNNNNNNNNNUUCAGCAGCUCGAGGAGUCCCCAGAUGUCCAGGUGGCAGUCUCACCUUUCAUUUCAUUGUGCAUUGUCAUCUCCCUUUAAUGUAAGCAUUCUUCCCUUUACAUCCAGGCCCUCUGUACCAGCAGGGAUGGAGGGUGUUAUUAGGGCAAUAGCGUGUCCACUCCUGCCUCUGCCCCUUGACUCCGGAACCAGUGUCUUCUGACUUGGGGAGAGACAGCUGCUUCAAAGCGUAUGUAGUACAUCGUGUGAGAUGGAAAGGCAUCCUUUCGGAAUGUCCUUACAACUCCUGUCUUCAGUUGGCCCUUCCGUUUUGUUCUUGGGGCAGUUGCUUGUAGGGAGUGGGAAGCGUGGUGAGACUGGUGAAUUCCAAGUGCUGACAGACGCUGCUUCGUAAGUGGUACAUGUGACGUUUUCAAAUGGCAGGUCAUGAGCAUGGCGGUCCUGUGCUUACUGGGCUGUGGCCAGUCACCUCCCUUCCUUCCGUCCCUUCUUCUCUUCCUUCCAGGGAGCUCCAUAGACUGGAGAGGCUGGGGUAGAAAAUAAUACAGUGUAACAUGUUCAAGGACACGUAUUUGGGGGGGAAAUACUCAUAUGUAUACUUAUUGGAUCAUGAUUUAAAAUUCAUUUCUUAAUAUAAUUCAUGGUGACGAUACUUUGAAAACUACUGGUCCAAGGAGACAUUGGGACUUGCGGGUUUCUUCCCUCUAGUUUCCUGUGAUGUGUUAGCUCCAGGCCACAUGAAGUCAGUGUCGGCUGCAGUCCUGCAGUGGUCCUACCCACCAGGGUGGAUUUCUCUGGAAAUCUUGUUUACUUCUAACAAGUCAAAGGAUGGCAAUCAUGAGUGAGAUCACCUAUAAAAUGUAACUUUCAGAGUUGUUUAGAAGUUUAAGUGAGACCACGUGACUGAGUUCUGCCCUCAGCAUCUGGCAGGUAGUGGGAAAUAGGUCCAGGCAAUGAACUCUGUUAAAGAUGCACCCAGCACUGUUUACGUGGUGUUUUUCUGUAAAUUUCACCGUAAGAUUUAUAUUUACUAUGUAAAUCGCCUCCAUUGUUUAGGUGACUAAGGUGACCUAAAUCGAGUCAGUUAUGUGAUUUGAAUAAAAUUUCAGAACCCCUGUUUAUAAUCUAUUUCUUUCCACCCCUUCUCCGACUUUCUUUCCAAAUGAUAUUUUUACUUGGAUCUUGAGAGCCUUGUGGUUAAAGCAGAGAUGAAAAUUUUGUGGGACUGGAUCUGCAAAAUAAACUUCUUAGAGUGAAUUGGGAUAGAUGUCUCCACCCUCAGGCCCAGCCCUUGCCUAACAGAAUGAAUGAGCCAAAGUUAUUGACUCAAAAGGUUUCCCUGAAGUGCUCUACAAAUUAAAGCAGAAUAGCUUUAACUGGCCAUUGUUGACGAAGUCAUCUCAGCGUUCUCUUCUGUCUGUCCCUCCCAUUUUUUGGAUUCCACAUAUAAGUAAUAUAGCAUAGUGUAUUUGUCCUCUGUCUGGCUUAUUCCAUUUAGGAUAAUACCCUGCAAGUUCAUCCAUGUUCCUGCAAAUGGCAAAAUUUCAUUCUUUUUUCCGACUGAGCCGUAUUCCAUUGCAUGUAUGUACUGCAUCUUCUUUAUCUGUUCAUCUGUUGAUGGACAGUUAGGUUGCCUCCAUAUCUUGGUGAUUGUACAUAGUGUUGCUAUGAACAUUCAGGUACAUCUAUCUUUCUGAGUUAGUAUUUUUUUUUUUUUUUAAUAUAUACCCAGGAGUGGAAUUGUUGGCUUACAUGGCAGUUCUAUUUUUCAUUUUUUUGAGAAACCUCCAUACUGUUUUCCACAGUGGCUGUAUGAAUUUACAUUCCCGCCAGCAACGUUUGAGGGCUCCCUUAUCUCCACGUCUUUGUCAGAAUUCGUUAUUUAUGUAUUUAUUUUUAUGUUAGCCAUUCUGACAGGUGUGAGGUGAUAUCUUGUUGUAGUUUUGAUUUGCAUUUCCCUAAUGAUUGGUGAUGUUGAGCAUCUUUUUGUGUGCCUCUUGCGUGUCCUUUUGGGAGAAAUAUUUAUUCAGGUCUUCUGCCCAUUUUUUAUUUUAUUUUUUAUUUUUAAUUGUGCCUGUGGCAUUUGGAAGUUCCCUGGCUAGGGAUCAGACUUGCUCCACAGCAGUGACAGCGCAGGGAAUCCACCAAGCCACCAGGGAACUCCAGUUUGUUUGUUUUUUUGGUGUUGAGAUGUAUAAGGUAUUUAUAUAUUUUACAUAUUAACCCCUUAUCGGUUAUAUCCUGUGCAAAUACUUCCUCACAUUCGGUAGGUUGUCUUUUUGUUUUUUGGUGGUUUCCUUUGCUUUGGUUUUAUUUCCUUUGUUUUAGGAGACAGAUCAAAAAGAUGAUUUAUCUCAAAGAAUGUUCUGCCUGUGUUGUCCCUCAUAUGGUCUUAAAUUUUUUAACAACGGAAGACAUUAUGUAUUAUACAAUUUACCCUUUAAAGUGUACCCUUCAGUGGUUUCCAGUAUAUUCACAAAGUUAUGUAUCCAUCCUUAUAAUCAAUUUGAGGACAUUUUUAUUACUUUCGAAAGAAACUCUGUACCCCUAAGCUGUUGCCCCCUAAUCCUGCCCUACCUAGCUGCCUAGCCCCAGACAGUCACUCAUCUAUUGUCUCUAUAGAUUUGCUUAUUCUGGACAUUUUAUACUAACAAAAGUAUACAAUAUGUUGUCCUUUGUGACUGGCUUCUUUCACUUGGCAUAGUGUUUUCAAGGUUCAUCUGUUGUAGUAUGGAUCAGAAGUUCAUUUCUUUUUAUUGCUGAAUAAUAUUUCAUUGUAUGGGUACAUAGCAUUUUGUUCAUCCAUUCAUCAGUUGGUGGGCAUUUGAGUUGUUUCCAGUUUUUGGCUAUUGUGAGUAAUACUGCUAGGAACAGUCAUACACAGAUUUUUGUGUGAACAUGUUUUCAACCUUCUUGGGUAUAUAGCUAGGAAUGGAAUUGCUGGGUCUUAUGGUAACUCUGUGCUUAAGGAGGAACUGCCUGUUUUCCAAAGUAGCUGCCCUAUUUUACGUUUCUACCAAAAGCGUGUGAGUGAUCCGGUCUCUCCACAUCCUCCCCAACACUUGUUACUGACGUGUCUUUUUAAUGUUAGCCGUCCUCGUAGGUAUGAAGUGCCGUCACAUGGUUUUGAUUUGCAUUUCUCCAGUGACUUUUCAUUUGGGUUUUGGCCAUUUGUAUGUUGUCUUUGGGUUCUGUCUGGUUUUAGUUGGCAUCGAGGGAUGGCAGUAUCUGUAAUCUGUGCAACUGGUAUGUGGAAACUGGUUUCCCAGAAAAGUUUUCACUUCCUUGACAUAGUGAAAUUCACUUACACAUCAGAGAAUGUUUGGUCAAAGUAACAUUCUUUUGUUUUAAUUUUUAUUUAUUCUUUUCUUUUUUUGCCUUUUAGGGCUGCACCUGCAGCAUAUGGAAGUUGCCUGGCUAGGGGUCGAGUUGGAGCUACAGCUGCCUGCCUACACCACAGCCACAGCAGCAUGGGAUCCAAGCCAUGUCUGUGACCUCCACCACAGCUCACAGCAGCACCGGAUCCUUAACCCACUGAUCAAGGCCAGGGAUCAAGUCCACAUCCUAAUGGAUGCUAGUUGGGUUUAUAACCCGCUGAGCCACAGUGGGAACUCCACAUUCUUUUAAAACGCAAUUAUAGUUAAGCCACAUUCCACCCAUAGGGUGAAUAUAGAAGACCACAGUGAACACAGCCCGCGCCAACAUCCAACUGUAAAUGGGAUACUAAGUGAAACACGAGGAAGCAGAGCAAACUCGUGAGGACAAAUGGCCAGAACUCACAGGGACAUCCUCUUGGCCUCUGCUAGCCUCUUCCAAGGAAAUUCUGUUUGGGCAGACAGCUGAAGAGACCACGUAGUGGCAAGAUACUGAGUUAAACCACAGAAAAGGUACACAGCAUGAUUCGUGUACAAAUGCACUCAUGAAGCACUUCAUGUGCUUCAAAUACGGAGUUACGGCCACGGGAACGUUGUCAUUACAUGUGAAGAGAGGAAAAAAUUCAGAUCCCACAUACCUCAAGUACUUGUAUCUUACAUUGUAGCAGCAGAAUAUCUGAAAUUUUUACACUCACUGCACCAGUUCAGAAAUAGUGUCUCAACAUGAAU